AGCAGCCGCGGUAAUUCCAGCUCCAAUAGCGUAUAUUAAAGUUGUUGCAGUUAAAAAGCUCGUAGUUGAAUUUCGGGGUUAGUAGAUUGGUCGUGCCAUCGGUAUGCACUGGUCUUACUGAUUCCUCCUUCCUGAUGAACCGUAAUGCCAUUAAUUUGGUGUUGCGGGGAGACUGGACUGUUACUUUGAAAAAAUUAGAGUGUUUAAAGCAAGCUAACGCUUGAAUACAUUAGCAUGGAAUAAUGAAAUAGGACGUUCGAUCCUAUUUUGUUGGUUUCUAGGAUUGACGUAAUGAUUAAUAGGGAUAGUUGGGGGCAUUAGUAUUCAAUUGUCAGAGGUGAAAUUCUUGGAUUUAUUGAAGACUAACUACUGCGAAAGCAUUUGCCAAGGAUGUUUUCAUUAAUCAAGAACGAAAGUUAGGGGAUCGAAGACGAUCAGAUACCGUCGUAG
rnacentral:rRNA from 1 species